CGGCGAUGUCCGAAUGGGGAAACCCAGUGCAAUUCGUUGCACUAUCGUUAACUGAAUACAUAGGUUAACGAGGCGAACCGGGGGAACUGAAACAUCUAAGUACCCCGAGGAAAAGAAAUCAACCGAGAUUCCCCCAGUAGCGGCGAGCGAACGGGGAGCAGCCCAGAGUCUGAAUCAGCUUGUGUGUUAGUGGAACGGUCUGGAAAGUCCGACGGUACAGGGUGAUAGUCCCGUACACCAAAAUGCACAGGCUGUGAACUCGAAGAGUAGGGCGGGACACGUGGUAUCCUGUCUGAAUAUGGGGGGACCAUCCUCCAAGGCUAAAUACUCCUGACUGACCGAUAGUGAACCAGUACCGUGAGGGAAAGGCGAAAAGAACCCCGGCGAGGGGAGUGAAAAAGAACCUGAAACCGUGUACGUACAAGCAGUGGGAGCACCUUCGGGUGUGACUGCGUACCUUUUGUAUAAUGGGUCAGCGACUUAUAUUCUGUAGCAAGGUUAACCGUAUAGGGGAGCCGCAGGGAAACCGAGUCUUAACUGGGCGUUAAGUUGCAGGGUAUAGACCCGAAACCCGGUGAUCUAGCCAUGGGCAGGUUGAAGGUUGGGUAACACUAACUGGAGGACCGAACCGACUAAUGUUGAAAAAUUAGCGGAUGACUUGUGGCUGGGGGUGAAAGGCCAAUCAAACCGGGAGAUAGCUGGUUCUCCCCGAAAGCUAUUUAGGUAGCGCCUCGUGAAUUCAUCUUCGGGGGUAGAGCACUGUUUCGGCUAGGGGGUCAUCCCGACUUACCAACCCGAUGCAAACUACGAAUACCGAAGAAUGUUAUCACGGGAGACACACGGCGGGUGCUAACGUCCGUCGUGAAGAGGGAAACAACCCAGACCGCCAGCUAAGGUCCCAAAGUCAUGGUUAAGUGGGAAACGAUGUGGGAAGGCACAGACAGCCAGGAUGUUGGCUUAGAAGCAGCCAUCAUUUAAAGAAAGCGUAAUAGCUCACUGGUCGAGUCGGCCUGCGCGGAAGAUGUAACGGGGCUAAACCAUGCACCGAAGCUGCGGCAGCGACACUAUGUGUUGUUGGGUAGGGGAGCGUUCUGUAAGCCUGCGAAGGUGACCUGUGAGGGUUGCUGGAGGUAUCAGAAGUGCGAAUGCUGACAUAAGUAACGAUAAAGCGGGUGAAAAGCCCGCUCGCCGGAAGACCAAGGGUUCCUGUCCAACGUUAAUCGGGGCAGGGUGAGUCGACCCCUAAGGCGAGGCCGAAAGGCGUAGUCGAUGGGAAACAGGUUAAUAUUCCUGUACUUGGUGUUACUGCGAAGGGGGGACGGAGAAGGCUAUGUUAGCCGGGCGACGGUUGUCCCGGUUUAAGCAUGUAGGCUGGUUAUCCAGGCAAAUCCGGAUAAUCAAGGCUGAGGUGUGAUGACGAGGCACUACGGUGCUGAAGUAACAAAUGCCCUGCUUCCAGGAAAAGCCUCUAAGCAUCAGGUAACAUCAAAUCGUACCCCAAACCGACACAGGUGGUCAGGUAGAGAAUACCAAGGCGCUUGAGAGAACUCGGGUGAAGGAACUAGGCAAAAUGGUGCCGUAACUUCGGGAGAAGGCACGCUGGUGUGUAGGUGAAGUCCCUGCGGAUGGAGCUGAGACCAGUCGAAGAUACCAGCUGGCUGCAACUGUUUAUUAAAAACACAGCACUGUGCAAACACGAAAGUGGACGUAUACGGUGUGACGCCUGCCCGGUGCCGGAAGGUUAAUUGAUGGGGUUAUCCGUAAGGAGAAGCUCUUGAUCGAAGCCCCGGUAAACGGCGGCCGUAACUAUAACGGUCCUAAGGUAGCGAAAUUCCUUGUCGGGUAAGUUCCGACCUGCACGAAUGGCGUAAUGAUGGCCAGGCUGUCUCCACCCGAGACUCAGUGAAAUUGAACUCGCUGUGAAGAUGCAGUGUACCCGCGGCAAGACGGAAAGACCCCGUGAACCUUUACUAUAGCUUGACACUGAACAUUGAGCCUUGAUGUGUAGGAUAGGUGGGAGGCUUUGAAGCGUGGACGCCAGUCUGCGUGGAGCCAACCUUGAAAUACCACCCUUUAAUGUUUGAUGUUCUAACGUUGGCCCCUUACCGGGGUUGCGGACAGUGUCUGGUGGGUAGUUUGACUGGGGCGGUCUCCUCCCAAAGCGUAACGGAGGAGCACGAAGGUUAGCUAAUCCUGGUCGGACAUCAGGAGGUUAGUGCAAUGGCAUAAGCUAGCUUGACUGCGAGCGUGACGGCGCGAGCAGGUGCGAAAGCAGGUCAUAGUGAUCCGGUGGUUCUGAAUGGAAGGGCCAUCGCUCAACGGAUAAAAGGUACUCCGGGGAUAACAGGCUGAUACCGCCCAAGAGUUCAUAUCGACGGCGGUGUUUGGCACCUCGAUGUCGGCUCAUCACAUCCUGGGGCUGAAGUAGGUCCCAAGGGUAUGGCUGUUCGCCAUUUAAAGUGGUACGCGAGCUGGGUUUAGAACGUCGUGAGACAGUUCGGUCCCUAUCUGCCGUGGGCGCUGGAGAAUUGAGGGGGGCUGCUCCUAGUACGAGAGGACCGGAGUGGACGCAUCACUGGUGUUCGGGUUGUCAUGCCAAUGGCAUUGCCCGGUAGCUAAAUGCGGAAGAGAUAAGUGCUGAAAGCAUCUAAGCACGAAACUUGCCCCGAGAUGAGUUCUCCCUGAGACUUUAAGUCUCCUGAAGGAACGUUGAAGACGACGACGUUGAUAGGCCGGGUGUGUAAGCGCAGCGAUGCGUUGAGCUAACCGGUACUAAUGAACCGUGAGGCUUAACCUU
rnacentral:rRNA from 1 species